rnacentral:rRNA from 1 species
GAUGAACGCUGGCGGCGUGCCUAAUGCAUGCAAGUCGAGCGAACGGACGAGAAGCUUGCUUCUCCGAUGUUAGCGGCGGACGGGUGAGUAACACGUGGAUAACCUACCUAUAAGACUGGGAUAACUUCGGGAAACCGGAGCUAAUACCGGAUAAUAUUUUGAACCGCAUGGUUCAAAAGUGAAAGACGGUCUUGCUGUCACUUAUAGAUGGAUCCGCGCUACAUUAGCUAGUUGGUAAGGUAACGGCUUACCAAGGCAACGAUGCAUAGCCGACCUGAGAGGGUGAUCGGCCACACUGGAACUGAGACACGGUCCAGACUCCUACGGGAGGCAGCAGUAGGGAAUCUUCCGCAAUGGGCGAAAGCCUGACGGAGCAACGCCGCGUGAGUGAUGAAGGUCUUCGGAUCGUAAAACUCUGUUAUUAGGGAAGAACAUAUGUGUAAGUAACUGUGCACAUCCUGACGGUACCUAAUCAGAAAGCCACGGCUAACUACGUG